rnacentral:lncRNA from 1 species
AUGGGAGACAACUUAAACAGCAACACCAUCGCUGCCCUCGGCAGAGAGAGUACAGGUCUGUCUGAGGGUCAGAUCACCAUGGCACCCGCCAGCGUUCUGUGGGCUUCCUUCAGCAUUCUGAGCACUGUGAUUGGCUGGAACCAGGGCCAGGCCAUGGCCAUCAUCCAAUCACUGAUGCUGUCAGGAGCCGUGAAGAUCAACAGCGCAUCCACCUUGACAGCGCUGGGUUCCCUGGUGACCGGUGUUCCCUCGGCAACCUUAGGCAGCAUCAGCGGCACGGAACUCCUCUACGCGUCCCAGGAUCCCACAUUCAUAACAUACAUGCAGACCGCCCCGACGAUCUUAAUCCAGACUUUCGUCACUCAGGUACCGUGUCGCAGUUAAAGUCUUCCUCACUUAACCUUUUGGUUCCUACUAUGAGAACUGUUGAGUAUUUCCAGUUAAUUCUAUAGCAGUGAUAAACAUUUCUUAGCUGAAUGCUUGUAAUAUAGAUGGAUAAAAGGAUGGAUGUUUAACUGACCAACAAACUGAUUGAUUAAUGUGGUGUCUAUUCUCCCCAUAGGGUUGACUGAUUGAUUAAUGUGGUGUCUAUUCUCCCCAUCCAGUUGACUGAUUGAUUAAUGUGGUGUCUAUUCUCCCCAUACAGUUGACUGAUUGAUUAAUGUGGUGUCUAUUCUCCCCAUACAGUUGACUGAUUGAUUAAUAUGGUGUCUAUUCUCCCCAUAGGGUUGACUGAUUGAUUGAUAUGGUGUCUAUUCUCCCCAUAGGGUUGACUGAUUGAUUAAUAUGGUGUCUAUUCUCCCCAUCCAGUUGACUGAUUGAUUCAUGUGGUGUCUAUUCUCCCCAUACAGUUGACUGAUUGAUUAAUGUGGUGUCUAUUCUCCCCAUACAGUUGAUCACAGUGAACCCUAACCCAGACAGUAUUCUCCAGAACGUCCCAGACAGCAUGUCUACUGAGAUCCCCAGGUCCCUGCUGCAGGGCUUCUCUCAGAGCAGUGUGGUGGUGGAGAAACUGAACCAGAAGACAUGGAGACACGAACAGGUGACGGGGAGCACACACACACACACACACACACACACACACACACACACACACACACACACACACACACACACACACACACACACACACACUCUGAAUUUAAGAAACUAUAAUACUGUUCUUUUAUUUUCAGGCUGUGUUGUUCUUUGACACAGUGGCUCUAGGAAUUGACAACUCCGACAAGUGAGUCUGGGAACAUCUGCAUAUUGUGAUGUACAGUAUAUAUACACAGAUAUAUAUAUAU